rnacentral:rRNA from 1 species
UCACUUUCAACAACGGAUCUCUUGGCUCUCGCAUCGAUGAAGAACGCAGCGAAAUGCGAUAAGUAGUGUGAAUCGCAGAAAUUGUGAAUCAUCGAAUCUUUGAACGCAAAUUGCACUCUCUGGUAUUCCCGGGGAGUAUGCCUGUUUGAGGGUCGUU